GUGAAUUAAUUCAAAGAUAGGAAUCAAGCAUAGCAAAGAAAAACUGAACAAACAAAGCAACAAGAACAUUCUAGACAAAAUGGAGAAUGAUGUCCAGGUUCAAGACUGAUCGUCACAACAUCUUGACAAACCAAUCUCCACUAUUUCAACGAAGCUUUUUCCUCUGAAUUUUAUCUAAGAUCAUCAGUACAUGGCAAGGAACAAAUAGGUUCGUCCCAGUAAAAGAAGGUUCUUGAAUCAUUAAAAUAAAAGGACUCGAAAUAGGUAAGUUAAAACAGUUUGGAAACUCUUCAGCCAUAUUGUCAAGAAAGUUCAAUCAAUCUUGAUAUGUUCAAAGACAUUACAAAGACAUCUAGAAUGAUAAAAACAUGAACUUCAGAUUGAUCAUCAAAUCUCCAGAAAGAUCAAACUGCCAAAACCAGAUUGAUGAUCAAUCUCCGUUUUCUGCAGAAUUCCAGCAAUUGAUCCUCUUACUUCUACAAAGGUUUUAAUCAUUCUCAAAAUUAUUUUGGCUAGAUUCAAAGCUCCAGAUCGAAGCUGUAUCAUCUAUGAUUAAGUGAAAAACGUCAAAGACAUUUAAACUAGAAGACAAAAGGUUUAAAGCAAGGUUGUAACAAACUCAGUUAAAACAGAUUCUAAUCAUUCAAAAGGCUGAAUUAUUUUAAUUCGAUAUAUUGGUUUUGAUCAAAACUGACAGAGCACUACCAACAGCUCUUUUGACAAUCAUUAAAUGCUUCUAAACACCUAUAAAAGGAAGGCCAAUAUCCAGGAUUAAGGCAGAAAAUCAAGUGUAGUUAAUUACCACAAAUCAUUCACAUUCACAUACUUGAAAUUCCCAAAGAAGAAGCAGUUCUGAAUCUUUACACCAUACUGUGCUGUUACUACUGAUUUCUUUGUAAAUAAUCAAAUCUCAAACUAGAGUUGAGACAUCUCAGAUUCUAUCAAAAUAAUAUCAUCACUA
rnacentral:lncRNA from 1 species